AGUGAACGCUGGCGGUAGGCCUAACACAUGCAAGUCGAACGGCAGCACAGUAAGAGCUUGCUCUUACGGGUGGCGAGUGGCGGACGGGUGAGGAAUACAUCGGAAUCUACUUUUUCGUGGGGGAUAACGUAGGGAAACUUACGCUAAUACCGCAUACGACCUACGGGUGAAAGCAGGGGAUCUUCGGACCUUGCGCGAUUGAAUGAGCCGAUGUCGGAUUAGCUAGUUGGCGGGGUAAAGGCCCACCAAGGCGACGAUCCGUAGCUGGUCUGAGAGGAUGAGGAGCGACACGGGGACGGAGACAGGGACGGGAGUGGGAAGGGAGGAAGCAGGGGGGAAUAGGGGAAAAGGGGAGAAAGCCGAAUCAAGUAAGGGCGCGGGAGUGAUGAAGGACGUAGGGGGGAAAAGCGCUUGGACACGGGAGGAUAAGGACAGGACCGGGAGAAUAAGCGCCGGCUAACUCCGUG
rnacentral:rRNA from 1 species